rnacentral:lncRNA from 12 species
UGAAAAUCCUCUCUACAUCUGUAAAUUUGGAGAAAAGAUCGUUACACCCUCCUUCUUUGCAAAGGAAGGAAGAAACCCUGGAAAAGUUUGUCUUCCCCUGUGCAGAAAAACCACAACACAACUGACCUGAGCUGCCCUUCUCCCCCUGCUCACUCAAACACACUCUGACAUGCCAAGCAGGGGCUCCUGAGUGAACCCAGAGGUCCUGCAUUCAGGCACACACAGGAUGCAAAUCCUCACAGCUGCAUCAACACCACUGAAAUAAUGUGCACAUGUUCAGUAUACUUUGAUAAGACCACGACUGUGACUGACAAUGAUGCACAUUGUCACUGUAACUCCACUAUUUCAGCAUCUCAAGAAUCAGAACAGCUUCCUUCCUAUCCAGAGAGGACUCCCCCCACACCUAUCCAUAAUCAUGCCAUAAAAAGUACAGAAAAAUAAUUCUGUUUUGAGAAGUUUGUAACUCCUAACAGAGGCUGGCAAGCCUAAUUCCACAACAU